GGGUGAAAUGAUGGCAUACCAUCUUUCGGGACUGACAUAAAUUGAUGAGUUCCUUUAAUAUUUUACUGAUCACUC
ensembl:snoRNA small nucleolar RNA SNORD2